AGAAUAUGUGUGUGUAAGUGAACAGUGUGUGUUCUGGUGCAGGGGGUUCAGACUGGCAUUCAGAUGAGCAAAAUACAAUAUAUUUAAUGCUUAAUGAUGAAUUGAUUAGAGAAAAAGGGGGGGGGUGUUUAACAGUAGAGAGUGUAGUAGAUGAUAGUAGUAGAUGAUAGUAGUAGGUAAUAGUAGUAGGUAAUAGUAGUAGAUGAUAGUAGUAGAUGACAGUAGCAGGUGAUAGUAGUAGAUGAUAGAUGUAGGUGAUAGUAGUAGAUGAUAGUAGUAGGUGAUAGUAGUAGAUGCUAGUAGUAGAUGAUCGUAGUAGGUGAUAGCAGUAGAUGACAGUAGUAGGUGAUAGUAGUAGAUGAUAGUGGUAGAUGAUAGUAGCAGGUAAUAGAUGUAGGUGAUAGUAGUAGAUGCUAGAUGUAGAUGAUAGUAGUAGGUGAUAGUAGAAUGUGAUAGUAGUAGAUGAUAGUAGUAGGUGAUAGUAGUAGAUGCUAGUAGUAGAUGAUCGUAGUGGGUGAUAGAUGUAGGUGAUAGCAGUAGAUGACAGUAGUAGGUGAUAGAAGUAGCUGAUAGAUGUAGGUGAGAGUAGUAGGUGAUAGAUGUAGGUGAUAGUAGUUGGUAAAAGCAGUAGAUGAUAGUAGUAGAUGAUAGUAGAAUGUGAUAGUAGUAGAUGAUAGUAGUAGGUGAUUGUAGCAGGUGACAGAAGCAGAUGAUAGUUGUAGAUGACAGUAGUAAUUGAUAGUAGUAGGUGAUAAUAGUAUAUGAUAAUAGUAUAUGAUACUAGUAGAUGAAAGUAGUGGUUGAUAGUAGUAGGCGAUAGUUGUAGGCGAUAGUUGUAGGUAGUAGUAGUAGGUGAUAGUAGCAGAUGAUAGUUGUAGGUGAUAGUAGUAGGUAACAGUAGUAGGUGAUAGUAGUAGAUAAUAUUUGUAGAUGAAAGUAGUAGAUGACAGUGGUAAGUGAUAGUACUACAUGAUUUUAGUAGGUGAUAGUAGAUGAUAAUAGUAGGUGAUAGUUGUACAUGAACAUGGUAGGUGAUAGUAGUAGGUGAUAAUAGUAUAUGAUAGUAGUAGGUGAAAGUAGUAGUUGAUAGUAGUAGAUGAUAGUAGUAGGUGAUAGUAGUAUAUGACAGAAGUAGGUGAUAGGUGUAGGCGACAGUAGUAGGCGAUAGUUGUAGGUGAUAGUAGUAGGUGAUAGUAGUAGGUGAUAGUAGUAGGUGAUAGUAGUAGGUGAUAGCAGUAGGUGAUAGUAGUAGGUGAUAGUAGUAGAUGAUAGUAGUAGAUGAUAGUAGUAGGUGAUUGUAGUUGAUGAAUGUAGUAGAUGAUUGUAGUAGAUGAUAGUAGUAGGUGAUAGUAGUAGGUUAUAGUAGUAGAAGACACUCGCAAAUGACAGUAGUAGGUGAUAGUAGUAGAUGAUAGUAGUAGGUGAUAGAUGUCGGUGAUAGUAGUAGGUGAUAGUCGUAGAUGAAAGUUGUAGGUGAUUGUAGCAGGUGAUAGAAGCAGAUGAUAGUUGUAGGUGAUAGUAGUAUGUGAUAGUAGUAGGUGAUAGAAGUAGUGGAUAGUAGCAGAUGAUAGAAGUAGAUGAGAGUAGUAGAUGACAGUAGUAGAUGAUAGUCCUAGGUGAUAGUAGUUGGUAAAAUUAGUAGACGAUAGCAGUAGAUGAUAGUAGAAUGUGAUAGUAGUAGAUGAUAGUAGUAGGUGAUUGUAGCAGGUGAUAGAAGCAGAUGAUAGUUGUAGGUGACAGUAGUAGAUGAUAGUCCU
ensembl:lncRNA